rnacentral:lncRNA from 1 species
AGAUGAAACUAUCAAUCCUAGAAGAAGACCCUCUUCUUCUUGUCUUUACUCUAUCCUAGACACCCUAUCUUAUGUCUAUUAUAUCUCCACGACCUAAAGGUCUUUCUCUCUAAUUUUUGGAUGCCCCAAAUAUCUCUCAAAUCUCUAUGUUCUAUGAAACUUUCAUGAAGAAAAUCAUUUUAUAGAGAGAGAUAUGAUAGAGUCCUUGUCUAGGUCAAAUACCUAGUCAAGGCUUAUCCAAACAUGGCAA